rnacentral:rRNA from 1 species
AUUGAACGCUGGCGGCAGGCUUAACACAUGCAAGUCGAGCGGAGAUGAGGUGCUUGCACCCUAUCUUAGCGGCGGACGGGUGAGUAAUGCUUAGGAAUCUGCCUAUUAGUGGGGGACAACAUUCCGAAAGGAAUGCUAAUACCGCAUACGUCCUACGGGAGAAAGCAGGGGACCUUCGGGCCUUGCGCUAAUAGAUGAGCCUACGUCGGAUUAGCUAGUUGGUGGGGUAAAGGCCUACCAAGGCGACGAUCUGUAGCGGGUCUGAGAGGAUGAUCCGCCACACUGGGACUGAGACACGGCCCAGACUCCUACGGGAGGCAGCAGUGGGGAAUAUUGGACAAUGGGCGGAAGCCUGAUCCAGCCAUGCCGCGUGUGUGAAGAAGGCCUUUUGGUUGUAAAGCACUUUAAGCGAGGAGGAGGCUAUUUAGAUUAAUACUCUAGGAUAGUGGACGUUACUCGCAGAAUAAGCACCGGCUAACUCUGUGCCAGCCGCCGCAGUAACAC